rnacentral:rRNA from 1 species
GUCCUUUUGAAUUUUAUAGAAGGUCUGACCUGCCCAGUGAUAAUUUUAACGGCCGCGGUAUACUGACCGUGCAAAGGUAGCAUAAUCAUUAGUCUUUUAAUAGAGGGCUGGAAUGAAAGGUUUAACGAGGAAUCGACUGUCUCAUUUUAUUUGUUUUAGAAUUUAAUUUUUUAGUCAAAAAGCUAAAAUCUUAUUGGAAGACGAGAAGACCCUAUAGAUCUUUAUAAAACUUUAUUUAAUUAUUUUUAUAUUAUUUUAUUUAAAUGAUUUUUUAUUUUGUUGGGGUGACAAAAAUAUAUGUAAAACUUUUUUAUUUAUUUAACAUUAAUUUAUGAUUAUUAGAUCCAUUAUUAGUGAUUGAUAGACUAAGUUACCUUAGGGAUAACAGCGUAAUCCUCCUCCAGAGUUCAUAUUUACAGGAUGGGCUUGCGACCUCGAUGUUGGAUUAAGAUGAUAGUUAGGUGUAGCCGCUUAAUUUAUAGGUCUGUUCGACCUUUAAACUCUU